rnacentral:rRNA from 1 species
UAAUCUUAACACUCUUUCCCUACACGACGCUCUUCCGAUCUUUGCAUGUUGUAGUGGUAACAUCAGGUGGAGGAGCGACAUAGGUUGUCGUGGUCACAGGAGGUGGGGUAACAACAUAGGUAGGUGUUGUCGUUGUCGUUGUCGUGGCAGUGGUGUCUGUAACAGGUGGAGGAGUCACUGCUUGUUGCUCUGAUGUCGAUGACGUGCUUGAGAUAUCUUCGAAAGUUCUAGUUUGAGGGGGUGGUAAAAUGGGGGUAGCGACUGUUUACCAAAAACACAGGUCUAUGCAAACACGUAAGUGGAAGUAUAUGGGCUGACGCCUGCCCGGUGCUGGAAGGUUAAGAGGUGAGGUUAGCCGCAAGGCGAAGCUUUAAAUCGAAGCCCCAGUAAACGGCGGCCGUAACUAUAACGGUCCUAAGGUAGCGAAAUUCCUAGUCGGGUAAGUUCCGACCUGCACGAAUGGCGUAACGACUUCCCCACUGUCUCAACUAUAGAUCCAGCGAAAUUGGUGAGCGCGUGAAGAAACGCGCUACCCGCGGAAGGACGAAAAGACCCCGUGAACCUUUACUGUAACUUGGCAUUGGGUUUCGAUUAACCAUGCGUAGGAUAGGUGGGAGUUUUUGAUCCGUGCGUUCCGGCGUACGGGGAGACAACCUUGAAAUACCACCCUUGGUUAAUUGGAAUCCUAACCUGUCGUCAUAAUCUGGCGAGGGGACAAUGUCUGGUGGGCAGUUUGACUGGGGCGGUCGCCUCCUAAAGAGUAACGGAGGCGCACGAAGGUUCCCUCAGCCUGAAUGGAAACCAGGCGUAGAGUGUAAACGCAUAAGGGAGCUUGACUGCGAGGCAAACACGCCGAGCAGGUGCGAAAGCAGGUGUUAGUGAUCCGGUGGUUCCGAGUGGAAGGGCCAUCGCUCAACGGAUAAAAGGUACUCCGGGGAUAACAGGCUGAUCUCCCCCAAGAGUUCACAUCGACGGGGAGGUUUGGCACCUCGAUGUCGGCUCAUCGCAUCCUGGGGCUGGAGCAGGUCCCAAGGGUUUGGCUGUUCGCCAAUUAAAGCGGUACGCGAGCUGGGUUCAGAACGUCGUGAGACAGUUCGGUCCCUAUCUGCCGUGGGUGUAGGAGAAUUGAGGAAGCCUGCUCCUAGUACGAGAGGACCGGAGUGGACACACCUCUGGUGUAUCGGUUGUCACGCCAGUGGCAUUGCCGAGUAGCUAAGUGUGGAAGAGAGCUGAUAUCGUGACUGGGAGAUCGGAAGAGCGUCGUGUA